UAACCGCAGACGUGCAUCGGAAACCGGGCGACUUGUGUGCAGAAGAGGACAGUGGAACUCCAUGUGUAGCGGUGGAAUGCGUAGAUAUAUGGAAGAACACCAGUGGCGAAGGCGGCUGUCUGGUCUGCAACUGACGCUGAGGCUCGAAAGCAUGGGUAGCGAACA
rnacentral:rRNA from 1 species